rnacentral:lncRNA from 1 species
CACUGAUGAGGGACUCUAUGUAGUCCGAAAGUGUUAUGCCAUAUUAAAAAAUCUUUUGAUUAUAGAGCUGUAUUUUUCCUAUAAAAUCUAUAUAUUACAGGAAAGAGCAUAUAUGUGGAUAUGUGGUUUAAGUCGGUGCUGGAAUGAAAACAAAAGAGCAAUUACUUUUAGAAAAAACAUUGAAAAAUGGCAUCUUACUCAAUGGGUGUGUGUAAGAUGCCACACAUGUUAAAUUGUUUAUUAACUUUGAGAAACUGGUGUCUAAACUUCAUCUUUGCAAUCUUUGCAAUGAGUAGCAUAUGUAGUGCAUAUUUCAUGCAGCUAUCUGUUGCAAGAAACAUAGGAUAUCCAAUCGACUUUGGGAGUGUUUUUAUUGAAAUAAUAGCCACCACAGUGCCAACAGAAAUGAUCCUUGUCAAGCUCAUCAUCCUCUGUGCUGCUUUGUGACAGCAAUUUCUCUUUGCUGGAAGAGUUGUGGGGCUCUCUCUAACAUUGCUAUUGUUUGCUAUUAAUCGUUACCAUCUUUUAUUGCUGUCCUUUCUUUUUUUGCAAUUUUUUUGGCCUUUCAUCCUCUGUCUUUUUUGUUGCUCAAUAUUCAAGAGAAGUAAUGUUUUCUGCUCGCUGUUUCCUCUUCUACAAUUUCUUGGAAUGACUGCUGUAAGUUGAAGUCAUCAAAGGAACACUUACCAAGAUUACCUAAGUUACUUGCACCAGGUAAUGCUAAGCUGGAUGAUGUAGUUAUUUCAGAAUUUCCAGCACUUGCUGCAUCAUUAGGGUGGGCAUUUUCUUUAAGUUUAAUAAAAACAUAGUUUGGAGUUCUCUGUGGAUUUAAUCGUAGAACUGCUGCAAAAAUUACGUCUACUGCACAGCAAUUAA